AGUGGCGGACGGGUGAGUAACGCGUGGGUAACCUGCCUCACACAGGGGGAUAACAGUUGGAAACGACCGCUAAUACCGCAUAAGCCAACAGGGGCGCAUGCUCUGGUUGGAAAAGAUUAAUCGGUGUGAGAUGGACCCGCGUCUGAUUAGCCAGUUGGCAGGGUAACGGCCUACCAAAGCGACGAUCAGUAGCCGGCCUGAGAGGGUGAACGGCCACAUUGGGACUGAGACACGGCCCAAACUCCUACGGGAGGCAGCAG
rnacentral:rRNA from 1 species